rnacentral:hammerhead_ribozyme from 1 species
ACCCAGCUGACGAGUCCCAAAUAGGACGGAGCGCGCGUUCUGGAU